rnacentral:rRNA from 1 species
UACAGAGGGUGCGAGCGUUGUUCGGAAUUAUUGGGCGUAAAGGGCGCGUAGGCGGCGCCACAAGUCACUUGUGAAAACUCUGGGCUCAACUCAGAGCCUGCAAGCGAAACUGUGGUGCUGGAGUAUGGGAGAGGUGCGUGGAAUUCCCGGUGUAGCGGUGAAAUGCGUAGAUAUCGAGAGGAACACCAGAGGUGAAGACGGGUUGCUGGGCCGACACUGACGCUGACAGCGCGAAAGCCAGGGGAGCAAACGGG